rnacentral:rRNA from 1 species
AGAACGAACGUUGGCGGCGUGGAUUAGGCAUGCAAGUCGAACGAAUCCCAGGGGGUAACUCUCUGGGGAAGUGGCGAAAGGGGCAGUAAGGCGUGGGUAACCUACCCCGGGGAUCGGGAUAGCCAUUCUAACGAGUGGGUAAUACCGGGCGAUGCGGCGAGGAGGCAUCUCUUUGCCGUGAAAUGAGUUUCGCCUCGGGAGGGGCUCACGUAGUAUUAGCUUGUUGGUGAGGUAACGGCUCACCAAGGCCAAGAUGCUUAGCGGGUGUGAGAGCACGACCCGCGCCACUGGCACUGAGACACUGGCCAGACUCCUACGGGAGGCUGCAGUCGAGGAUCUUCGGCAAUGGGCGCAAGCCUGACCGAGCGACGCCGCGUGUGCGAUGAAGGCCUUCGGUUGUAAAGCACUGUCGAGGGGAGGAAGCUCCGCAAGGGGUUGACCGUAUCCCUGGAGGAAGCACGGGCUAAGUUCGCGCCAGCAGCCGCGGU